UUGAGGGGGAGGCAGUUAAGACUUGCAGUGAUGUUUAGAAAAUUUACUACAUGAACAUCACUUUAAGUCUGUGCUACUUCUUUCCUUAUC
rnacentral:pre_miRNA from 11 species